UUCUCCUGUUGCCACCUGGACACAGAUGUGUGGGCCACAAAAGCAAAUUAAUCUUUUUGGGAUUCGCCUUCUCGGCGGAUGCUGGAAAUGACGAAUUAAUUCAGGUGGUUUGUGGCGGAGCCGAUUUUUCUCCUUGCCGGAGGAACCCAGCGGAAAAUGGAGGCUGCAAGCAGCAAUUACGUGCUCGGCGUUGGCAAGGAGGAGGAUUCGCUUCGGAGGGGAAAAACCAACAGCCAGCAGAAAUUCUGUUUGCAGAAGCAGAGCCGCUGCACAUCAAUCAGCAGCACGGAUCGUUAAUGAAUUUUUAAUUCCUUGCGGAAGCCAUCAGGGCUGAACCUUCCCCACCAGCGCAUCCAGGGCAGAUCUUUAAUGGAUUUUUGGCAUCCGGGGGUAAAAUCCUGCAGCUCCUCGGGAUCCUGGUGGAAAUGCUGCCCCGGGCCCUGGGCCAGCCCUGCAAUCGUUCAUUUGCUCAGGAAAUGCUGUGGUCUGGGCAGGGAGCAAAGUUCAUCUCCUGCACGGCCUCUCAUUGAUUUAUUUCGUGUUGGUUUUUAUGGCUUGGGUUCAUCCAAGAUGUUUUGUUCAGCCAGCCCUGGCUCUGCAAAGGCUGGGUGGGUAUUUAACCCGCUGGGGUUAAAAUCUUCAUCCAUUGGGGUUAAAAUGGUCAUUUAUUUGGGUUAAAAAUGGUCAUCCAUUGGGGUUAAAAAUGUUCAUUUAUUUGGGUUAAAAUGUCCAUCCAUUUGGGUUAAAAAUGUUCAUUUAUUUGAGUUAAAAUGUUCAUUGAUUGGGGUUUAAAAUGUUCAUUUAUUUGGGGUUUAAAAUGUUCAUCCAUUGGGGUUAAAAAUGUCCAUCCAUUGGGGUUUAAAAUGUUCAUUUAUUUGGGUUAAAAUGUCCAUCCAUUGGGAUUCAAAUAUUCAUUUAUUUGGGUUAAAAUGUUCAUCCAUUGGGGUUAAAAUGUUCACUUAUUUGGGUUAAAAAUGUCCAUCCAUUUGGGUUAAAAAUGUUCAUCCAUUUGGGUUAAAAUGUUCAUUUAUUUGGGGUUAAAAUGUCCAUCCAUUUGGGUUAAAAAUGUUCAUCCAUUGGGGUUUAAAAUGUUCAUUUAUUUGGGUUAAAAUGUCCAUUCAUUUGGGUUAAAAUGUUCAUUUAUUGGGGUUUAAAUCUUCAUCCAUUUGGGUUAAAAAUAUCCAUCCAUUGGGAUUCAAAUAUUCAUUUAUUUGAGUUAAAAUGUCCAUCCAUUGGGGUUAAAAUGUUCAUUUAUUUGUGUUAAAAUGUCCAUCCAUUGGGGUUAAAAUGUUCAUUUAUUUGAGUUAAAAUCUUCAUCCAUUGGGGUUAAAAUGUUCAUUUAUUUGGGUUAAAAUGUUCAUUUAUUUGAGGUUUAAAAUGUUCAUUUAUUUGGGGUUAAAAAUGUUCAUCCAUUGGGAUUCAAAUAUUUAUUUAUUUGGGUUAAAAUGUUCAUCCUUUGAGGUUUAAAAUGUUCAUUUAUUUGGGUUAAAAUGUCCAUCCAUUGGGGUUAAAAUGUUCAUCCAUUGGGGUUAAAAUGUUUAUUUAUUGGGGUUUAAAUGUCCAUCCAUUGGAGCUAAAAAUGUCCAUCCAUGGGGUUAUGAUUAUUUUAGGGUUAGAAAUCUUUAUCUAUUGGGGUUUAAAAUCUUUAUCCAUUGGGGUUAUGAUUAUUUAGGGUUAG
rnacentral:lncRNA from 1 species